rnacentral:rRNA from 1 species
AUUUAGUAACAGGUGGGAAACGCGCCUCUCGGUUCGGGAUAACCCUUGGAAACAGGGGCUAAUACCGGAUGCGAUCGAUGGGUCUUCGGGCUUGUCGGUUAAAGAUGUCGCUUCAAGUGAUGUCGCUGAGAGAUCGUCCCGCCCCCGAUUAGCUAGACGGUGGGGUAAUGGCCUACCGUGGCGACGAUCGGUAGCUGGUCUGAGAGGAUGGUCAGCAACACUGGGACUGAGAUACGGCCCAGACUCCUACGGGAGGCAGCAGUCUAGAGGCUUCGGCAAUGGGGGAAACCCUGACCGAGCGACGCCGCGUGUGUGAGGAAGGCCUUCGGGUUGUAAAGCACUGUCGGCGGGGAAGAAGGCCAUGGAGGCGACCCUCCAUGGAUUGACGGUACCCGCAAAGGAAGCCCCGGCUAACUCCGUGCCAGCAGCCGCGGUAAUACGGAGGGGGCGAGCGUUAUUCGGAUUCAUUGGGCGUAAAGAGCUCGUAGGUGGACGCUUAAGUCUGAUGUGAAAGCGCUACUGCUCAACAGAGCGUUGUCAUUGGAAACUGGGCGUCUUGAGUGUGGCAGAGGUUGGUGGAAUUCCAGGUGUAGCGGUGGAAUGCGUAGAUAUCUGGAAGAACACCGGUGGCGAAGGCGACCAACUGGGCCACUACUGACACUGAGGAGCGAAAGCCAGGGGAGCGAACGGGAUUAGAUACCCCGGUAGUCCUGGCCGUAAACGAUGGACACUAGGCGUGGGAGGUAUCGACCCCUUCCGUGCCGCACCUAACGGAUUAAGUGUCCCGCCUGGGGAGUACGGUCGCAAGACUGAAACUCAAAGGAAUUGACGGGGGCCCGCACAAGCGGUGGAGCAUGUGGUUUAAUUCGACGCAACGCGAAGAACCUUACCCGGGCUUGAACUGCAGGGUAAAGCCGGUGAAAGUCGGUCUGCACUUCGGUGCGAUCCUGUGGAGGUGCUGCAUGGCUGUCGUCAGCUCGUGUCGUGAGAUGUUGGGUUAAGUCCCGCAACGAGCGCAACCCUUGCCUCUAGUUACCAGCACAUCAUGGUGGGGACUCUAGAGGGACUGCCCAUGAAAGUGGGAGGAAGGUGGGGACGACGUCAAGUCAUCAUGGCCCUUACGUCCGGGGCUACACACGUGCUACAAUGGCGAGUACAACGCGCAGCAAGUCUGCGAAGACAAGCGAAUCGCUUAAAGCUCGCCCCAGUUCGGAUUGGAGUCUGCAACUCGACUCCAUGAAGUUGGAAUCGCUAGUAAUCGCGUAUCAGCAACGACGCGGUGAAUACGUUCCCGGGCCUUGUACACACCGCCCGUCACACCACGAAAGUCGGCUGUUCCAGAAGUCGCUGCGCCAACCCCUCGUUGGGAGGCAGGUGCCGAAGGAAUGGCCGGUAAUUGGGGUGAA